UAAUACAUAGGGUGCAAGCGUUGUCCGGAAUUAUUGGGCGUAAAGAGCUCGUAGGUGGUUCGUCACGUCGGAUGUGAAACUCUGGGGCUUAACCCCAGACCUGCAUUCGAUACGGGCGAGCUUGAGUAUGGUAGGGGAGUCUGGAAUUCCUGGUGUAGCGGUGGAAUGCGCAGAUAUCAGGAGGAACACCAAUGGCGAAGGCAGGACUCUGGGCCAUUACUGACACUGAGGAGCGAAAGCGUGGGGAGCGAACAGGAUUAGAUACCCUGGUAGUCCACGCCGUAAACGGUGGGCACUAGUUGUGGGGACCUUCCACGGUCUCUGCGACGCAGCUAACGCAUUAAGUGCCCCGCCUGGGGAGUACGAUCGCAAGAUUAAAACUCAAAGGAAUUGACGGGGCCCCGCACAAGCAGCGGAGCAUGCGGCUUAAUUCGAC
rnacentral:rRNA from 1 species